GAUGCAACGCGAAAAACCUUACCCACCUUUGACAUGUACGGAAGUUACCAGAGAUGGUUUCGUGCUCGAAAGAGAACCGUAACACAGGUGCUGCAUGGCUGUCGUCAGCUCGUGUCGUGAGAUGUUGGGUUAAGUCCCGCAACGAGCGCAACCCUUGUCAUUAGUUGCUACGAAAGGGCACUCUAAUGAGACUGCCGGUGACAAACCGGAGGAAGGUGGGGAUGACGUCAAGUCCUCAUGGCCCUUAUAGAUGGGGCUACACACGUCAUACAAUGGCUGGUACAGAGGGUUGCCAACCCGCGAGGGGGAGCUAAUCCCAUAAAACCAGUCGUAGUCCGGAUCNCAGUNUGCAACUCGACUGCGUGAAGUCGGAAUCGCUAGUAAUCGCGGAUCAGAAUGUCGCGGUGAAUACGUUCCCGGGUCUUGUACACACCGCCCGUCACACCUUGGGAGCGGGUUCUGCCAGAAGUAGUUAGCCUAACCGCAAGGAGGGCGAUUACCACGGCAGGGUUCGUGACUGGGGUGAAGUCGUAAACAAGGUAGCCGUAAA
rnacentral:rRNA from 1 species